CACCGUUUCUGUGGCAUUUAAAUCCCCGGCGCUCCUCCAUCUAGGUGACGCGCAGUCGCCCCCCCAGGCAGCUGCGGCCACCGCAGCAGCUGCUGCGGCGGCAACAGCCGAUUCCGAGUGCUAGG
rfam:Otolemur garnettii contig057532, whole genome shotgun sequence.